rnacentral:rRNA from 1 species
UCAUGCCGAAAUAAGGCGAAACCGCGAAUGGCUCAUUAAAUCAGUUAUGGUUCCUUAGAUCGUUUCUUCCUACUUGGAUAACUGUGGCAAUUCUAGAGCUAAUACAUGCAGUGAGCCUGGAGCCCUUUGGGUAACGGGUGCUUUUAUUAGACCAAGAUCGAUCGGGUUUCGGCCCGUAUUGUGUGGUGACUCUGGAUAACUUUGUGCUGAUCGCAUGGCCACGAGCCGGCGACGUUUCUUUCAAGUGUCUGCCUUAUCAACUUUCGAUGGUAGGUUACUUGCUUACCAUGGUUGUUACGGGUAACGGAGAAUCAGGGUUCGAUUCCGGAGAGGGAGCCUGAGAAACGGCUACCACAUCCAAGGAAGGCAGCAGGCGCGCAAAUUACCCACUCCCGGCACGGGGAGGUAGUGACGAAAAAUAACAAUACGGGACUCUUUUGAGGCCCCGUAAUUGAAAUGAGUACACUCUAAAUCCUUUAACGAGGAUCAAUUGGAGGGCAAGUCUGGCCCAACCAGCCA